rnacentral:rRNA from 1 species
AUUGAACGCUGGCGGCAGGCCUAACACAUGCAAGUCGAGCGGGGACUUCGGUCCUAGCGGCGAACGGGUGAGUAAUGCUUGGGAACCUGCCCAGUAGGGGGGGAUAACGUCCCGAAAGGGACGCUAAUACCGCAUACGUCCUACGGGGGAAAGAGGGGGAUCUCCGGACUCCUCGCUAUUGGAUGAGCCCAAGUCGGAUUAGCUAGUUGGUAGGGUAAUGGCCUACCAAGGCGACGAUCCGUAGCUGGUCUGAGAGGAUGAUCAGCCACACUGGAACUGAGACACGGUCCAGACUCCUACGGGAGGCAGCAGUGGGGAAUAUUGGACAAUGGGCGAAAGCCUGAUCCAGCCAUGCCGCGUGUGUGAAGAAGGCCUUCGGGUUGUAAAGCACUUUAAGCGGGGAGGAAGGUUCGCGGCCUAAUACGUCGCGGAAUUGACGUUACCCGCAGAAUAAGCACCGGCUAACUCUGUG